UCUACUGACAUACUCAUGCCCAAACUACUAUCUCUUCUCUGGUUAUCCUCCUCUGUUUCCAUCACAUCCGCUGACAUACCUUCAUGAACUGAUCUCUUCCGACCUGCAUCAAAAGACCUUCUAGGGUCCCUUGAUGUACUUUCCCUGAUUGUCCUACAAGAUCUUGCCCUCUGCAGAGCAGGGGAAUGGGCAUCCAUGCCCUCAUUCUCUGGCGGAGCUCCAGUCAAUCUCGCAGAUCGACGAGUUCCUCUCA
rnacentral:lncRNA from 1 species